UCAAGUGACUAAGUGUAUGUGGUGGAUGCCUUGGCGAUCACAGGCGAAGAAGGACGUAGUAGCUUGCGAUAAGCUGCGGGGAGCCGGCAAACGGGCAUUGAUCCGCAGAUUUCCGAAUGGGGGAACCCACCGACGUAAGUCGGUAUCACACACUGAAUACAUAGGUGUGUGAGGCGAACGGAGCGAACUGAAACAUCUAAGUAGCUCCAGGAAAAGAAAUCAACCGAGAUUGCGAAAGUAGCGGCGAGCGAAAUCGCAGCAGCCCAGUGUUCUGAUAGCACGAACGACAGCAGAAAGGUCUGGAAAGGCCUGCUAUAGAGGGUGAUAGCCCCGUAUGCGAAAUCGAACGUGUGGUACUAAGGGACCGAUAAGUAGGGCGGGACACGUGACAUCCUGUCUGAAGAUGGGGGGACCAUCCUCCAAGGCUAAAUACUCGUGAUCGACCGAUAGUGAACCAGUACUGUGAAGGAAAGGCGAAAAGAACCCCGGGAGGGGAGUGAAAUAGAACCUGAAACCGCAUACAUACAAACAGUAGGAGCCCGUGUAGUCGGGUGACUGCGUACCUUUUGCAUAAUGGGUCAGCGACUUACGUUUUGUGGCGAGCUUAACCGAGUAGGGGAGGCGUAGCGAAAGCGAGUUCGAAUAGAGCGAGAAGUCUCAAGGCGUAGACCCGAAACCAGAUGAGCUAUCCAUGGCCAGGUUGAAGGUGUGGUAACACACACUGGAGGACCGAACCGACUAGUGUUGCAAAAUUAGCGGAUGAGCUGUGGAUAGGGGUGAAAGGCUUAACAAAUCUGGAGAUAGCUGGUUCUCCCCGAAAACUAUUGAGGUAGUGCCUCGUGUAUUGCUCCAGGGGGUAGAGCACUGUUAUGGCUAGGGGGACAUGGCGUCUUACCAAACCAUGGCAAACUCCGAAUACUUGGAAGUAAGAGCACGGGAGACAGAGCACCGGGUGCUAACGUCCGGACUCAAGAGGGAAACAACCCAGACCGCCGUUUAAGGUCCCAAAUAUUGACUAAGUGGAAAACGAAGUGUGAAGGCUAAGACAGUCAGGAAGUUGGCUUAGAAGCAGCCAUCCUUCAAAGAAAGCGUAAUAGCUCACUGAUCGAGUCCUCAUGCGCGGAAGAUGUAACGGGGCUAAGUCAAUAACCGAAAGCGCGGAUUUGCAUGAAAAUGCAAGUGGUAGGGGAGCGUUCUGUAAGCCUGCGAAGGUGGUUCGAGAGGACUGCUGGAGGUAUCAGAAGUGCGAAUGCUGACAUGAGUAACGUUAAAGCGGGUGAAAAGCCCGCUCGCCGUAAGCCCAAGGUUUCCUGCUCUACGUUCAUCGGAGCAGGGUGAGUCGGCCCCUAAGGCCAGGCUGAGAAGCGUAGUCGAUGGGAAGCAGAUUAAUAUUUCUGCACCAUGUGCAAGUGCGAUGGGGGGACGGAGUGCGAAAGAUCAUCCGGGUGUUGGAUGUCCCGGUUUGUGAGUGUAGAAGGCCGACAGGCAAAUCCGUCGGCAGAUCUUCGAGACAAAGCAUCGAGGUUCUACGGAACCGAAGUGAUCGGAAGUGCUUCCAGGAAAAGCCUCUAAGCUUCAGCUUGCAUGUGACCGUACCGUAAACCGACACUGGUGGGCGAGUUGAAUAUACUCAGGCGCUUGAGAGAACUCGGGAGAAGGAACUCGGCAAAUUGACACCGUAACUUCGGGAUAAGGUGUGCCUUUGUAGCGUGAAGAGAGAAACACUCGGAGCGUGAAGAGGCCUCAGAGAAUCGGUGGCUGCAACUGUUUAUUAAAAACACAGCACUCUGCAAAGACGAAAGUCGACGUAUAGGGUGUGAUGCCUGCCCGGUGCUGGAAGAUUAAGUGAUGGGGUGAGAGCUCCUGAUCGAAGUCCCAGUAAACGGCGGCCGUAACUAUAACGGUCCUAAGGUAGCGAAAUUCCUUGUCGGGUAAGUUCCGACCUGCACGA
rnacentral:rRNA from 1 species